CCUACGGGGGGCAGCAGUGAGGAAUAUUGGUCAAUGGGCUUACGCCUGAACCAGCCAAGUCGCGUGAGGGAAGACUGCCCUAUGGGUUGUAAACCUCUUUUGUCAGGGAGCAACGCCGGCUACGUGUAGCCGGACUGAGAGUACCUGCAGAAAAAGCAUCGGCUAACUCCGUGCCAGCAGCCGCGGUAAUACGGAGGAUGCGAGCGUUAUCCGGAUUUAUUGGGUUUAAAGGGUGCGUAGGUUGUUUUUUAAGUCAGCGGUGAAAGUUUGGGGCUCAACCAUAAAAUUGCCGUUGAAACUGGGAGACUUGAGUGUGUGUGAGGGAGGCGGAAUGCGUGGGGUAGCGGUGAAAUGCAUAGAUAUCACGCAGAACUCUGAUUGCGAAGGCAGCUUACUGAGCCAUAACGGACACUGAAGCACGAAGGCGUGGGGAUCAAACGGGAUUAGAUACCCUAGUAGUC
rnacentral:rRNA from 1 species